AUUUUCCAAGUAGCAAUUGACAGCUAAGUGGCACAAUUGUCCUCAUGUUCACUGUGCAUACAAUUUUUUUUGAAGCUAAAUUAUACAAUCAUUACUAUGUCUUCUUCACAGACCAGGAUAUGCAGAAACGCCAGACUAUUUCUGGAGUAAAUUAUUUAUGACAAGCAACAGCAUUCUUUUCCCACUAACAUACUGUCUUCUUCGCAGACCAACUACACCAGAAUAGUUCUGGGGUAAAUUAUUAUGACAAGCAACAUCAUUUUGUUCCCACAAACAUACUGUCUUCUUCGCAGAACAACUACACCAGAAUAUUUCUGGGGUAAAUUAUUUAUGACAAGCAACAGCAUUCUCUUCCCACUUAACAUACUGUCUUCUUCGCAGACCAACUACACCAGAAUAGUUCCGGAGUUAAUUAUUUAUGAUAAGCAAGAGCAUUCUCUUCCGAGACCUGUCAGUUUGGAAAAAUCACCGGUAAGUAUAACAUAUAAAGUAUCAAUUUGUGCAAAGCAAAAGGAGAGU
rnacentral:lncRNA from 1 species